GAUCUGAUCCAAUAUGGCUGGAUGGAAUAAAAUGUCUCUCGUACGAGUCGACUCUUUGGCAGUGUCAUGCAAAACCUUGGGGGAAACACGACUGUCAAUAUAACUCACAUGCAGGUGUUGAAUGUAAAGAGGCCAAAAAACCGGACCGGUCCAGUGUAAAGGUUUGCGAAGCACGCAAUAUAUCUCAACCUGUUUAUGCAGCAGAACCCACGUUGCGCGUUUCUGGCGGCAACACCAAUUGCUCUGGAAGGUUGGAGAUAAAGUUCAAUAAUAUCUGGGGCACG